AGCAGCCGCGGUAAUUCCAGCUCCAAUAGCGUAUAUUAAAGUUGUUGCAGUUAAAAAGCUCGUAGUUGAAUUUCGAGACCGGUUUACUGGUCGUGCUUUUGUACGUACUGGUAUUAUUGGUUUCUCCUUUCUGACGAAUCAUAAUGCCAUUAAUUUGGUGUUUUGGGGAAUCAGGACUGUUACUUUGAAAAAAUUAGAGUGUUUAAAGUAGGCUCACGCUUGAAUACAUUAGCAUGGAAUAACGAAAUAGGACGUUUGAUUUUAUUUUGUUGGUUUCUAGGAUCGACGUAAUGAUUAAUAGGGAUAGUUGGGGGCAUUAGUAUUCAAUUGUCAGAGGUGAAAUUCUUGGAUUUAUUGAAGACUAACUACUGCGAAAGCAUUUGCCAAGGAUGUUUUCAUUAA
rnacentral:rRNA from 1 species